UUAUAAUGGCAAUACCUAUAGGCGACAAUGGACGGAUCUUACGGAAUUCAGAUUUAUCAGUUAUUUUUUUGUUUUUGCUGGCUUACAUUAUUUCUAUAAUAUCAUUCUGUUUACUUAUCAGCGCCUUCUUCAGCAAAGCUAAUAUUGGGGCAGCCGUUGCGGGAAUACUGUAUUUUGGUUUGUAUGUUCCCUAUUUCUAUAUCAGCCUGGAUUAUCCAACAAUUAGCCGCAGUCAAAAAUUAGCCGCAUCUCUUCUAUCUAACACAGCCAUGUCGAUAGGAAGCUAUUCUAUUGGUUUAUACGAAGGAACUGGCGAAGGUGUCCAGUGGAGUAACAUGGGAUCACCACCAACACCAGACGAUAACUUUUCCAUGUCAGACGCCAUCUUGAUGUUACUAGGUGACAGUGCUAUUUACCUAACGAUUAUGUGGUAUGUGGAAAAUGUCUAUCCCGGAAAACAUGGCGUCCCGAAGCCUUUUUAUUUUC